GUAUCAAAGCUCCGGCGGUACAGGAUGGACCCGCGUCUGAUUAGCUAGUUGGUAAGGUAACGGCUUACCAAGGCGACGAUCAGUAGCCGACCUGAGAGGGUGAUCGGCCACAUUGGAACUGAGACACGGUCCAAACUCCUACGGGAGGCAGCAGUGGGGAAUAUUGCACAGUGGGCGAAAGCCUGAUGCAGCAACGCCGCGUGAGCGAAGAGGGCCUUCGGGUCGUAAAGCUCUGUCCUCAAGGAAGAUAAUGAC
rnacentral:rRNA from 1 species